CAUGGAGAGGAUCUUAGGGGACAUCUAGGGGAACUGUGAACUUUGACAGUUGAGGAAGAUCAAGCCCAGGGAAGGAAAGUGGUUCUCGAAGUCAGAGAGCUCGAUUGCAGAUGUACGAGUGGAAUCUGUGUUCUCUGCUUUUCAAGAAGGGCAUGAUGAUGUCAUCUGGGUGUUGAAACAGACUAAGUGUUCCCCUGGCCGGAAGCGAGCAAAGCUGACCCCAGCUGCGGUUCCUGGCAGCUUCCUGAAGUUGGCCAGAGAGGAGGACCCCACAUGUCGUGUGCAAAGACCAUGGAGGAUGGUGGAGAUAGGAGUUCUCAGCAGGAUCCCUCUCCCCUGCUGAUCACCCCAGCUCCUGGCCAUGUCAUUCUGCAAGGCCUUAGCUGUCCUCUGCAGACAAGCCAAGGUAUUAAAAACCUCCUCGCUGGCCAGGACACCUGGCAGUGUCCACCAACAGCUCCAGUCUGGACGCGGUCCCAGAGAUAAAUCCUCUCUCUUUAAAAAGCCACGGUGGCCCAUUAUUCUGCUUGGAAACACCUCUGAAUCUUUGCUUAGAGCCUGGGUGACAGGCCCCGGCUGUUGUGCUCAGCCCUGCAUAAAAUCACGUCAGCUAGUGACAUCCGUAAUGAGUAAGUGGGCAGCUUCAGACAAAGUGUACAUCAAGUCCCUUGCCCUGCACCCAGGACUGGGUUGGAAGGUUCGAGAGCCAUGUCUACAGAAGCAGCGGCUCAUGCCCAUUUGUGAUGCUCCGUCCAUGGGGUUCAAACAGGGAUGAGUCAGAAUGACAGAAUGGCGAUUCCUGGAGGAUAUUGCAUUGUGCAAUAUCCCACAGAACUUCGCCAAGUAAAGAGCAACCUUGAAAAACAAGCCGAGCCCAUUAAACUAUCACCACGGAUAUUUCACCAGAAGAAUACAGAGAACCCCUGCACCCACCACCCACAUUCAGCAGUGGCCAGGACUGGCCCCGUCCUCUCCUCUGCUAAAGUAUG